UACGGGGGGGGCGAGCGUUGUUCGGAAUUACUGGGCGUAAAGGGUUUGUAGGUGGCCUGCUAAGUCAGACGUGAAAUCCCUCAGCUUAACUGGGGAACUGCGUCUGAUACUGGAUGGCUUGAGUUUGGGAGAGGGAUGCGGAAUUCCAGGUGUAGCGGUGAAAUGCGUAGAUAUCUGGAGGAACACCGGUGGCGAAGGCGGCAUCCUGGACCAACACUGACGCUGAUGAGCGAAAGCCAGGGGAGCAAACGGG
rnacentral:rRNA from 1 species